UGUGGCAUGGGCUUCCUCUCCAAGAGUCUAAAGAAACAUCUUCAGGACACGGGAGAAGGAAAUUAUGAGCUCAGUGCAGGUUUUGCUCUCAUUUCUCUAUGAACUUGGGCCACUGUGCAAAGUGUAUCAAAACUAAGUGAAGAGCAGUAAUAAUCAGACUCAUCUUCAGGCUGGAGUCCAGAUAUACUCAGAGAGGCUGUGUUGCCAGACUUGGAGCCAGAGAAGCGAUCAGAGAUCCCUGAGGCUCUAUUGUUGACAUCAUAAAUCAGAAGUUUGGGGGAUGUUCCUUCCAGGUGCUGGUACCAGGAGACUGCAUCAUACCUUCCAAUGUCAUUGCUGGUACCAUCACAAGAGAUGGUGACCUUCUCUCCAAGAGAACCAGAGGCUGAGGGAGGCUGAGUCAGAGCAGACUGCGCCCAGGUCCCUGGAAAGAGAGAAGCUCAAAUUGGUGACAGAGGGGACAAGGCAACACAACCCCAGAAGAAACACCAACUCAGGUCUUUAUGCCAAACUAUUUUGUUCUGAAGAAGAGCUACCUGAGAAACCAUAUUCCAUGUACACCGUGAGCCUCAUACUUUGUUUCCUUGAGAAUU
rnacentral:lncRNA from 1 species